CGAGUUCGUGGGGCAGCCGGAUCCGGUUCCCGGCGUCGCGGAUGUCGGCCGGGAUGCCGUCGCGGUCGAUCGCCGCCGGAUCGUGGCCGAUGUAGUCGG
rnacentral:tRNA from 1 species